rnacentral:rRNA from 1 species
GACGAACGCUGGCGGCGUGCCUAAUACAUGCAAGUAGAACGCAGUUGCGAACGGGUGAGUAACGCGUAGGUAACUGCCUCAUAGCGGGGGAUAACUAUUGGAAACGAUAGCUAAUACCGCAUACUGUGAGAUGGACCUGCGUUGUAUUAGGUAGUUGGUGAGGUAAAGGCUCACCAAGGCGACGGUACAUAGCCGACCUGAGAGGGGGGUCGGCCACAAUGGGAACUGGGCACGGCCCAGAUGCCUAAGGGAGGCAGCAGUAGGGAAUCUUCGGAAAUGGACGGAAGUCUGACCGAGCAACGCCGCGGGAGUGAAGAAGGGUUUCGGAUCGUAAAGCUCUGUUGUUAGAGAAGCGGUAACUAAACAGAAAGGGACGGCUAACUACGUGCCAGCCGCCGCGGUAAUUC